rnacentral:rRNA from 1 species
ACGCUCGACACCUACUGGAGGCAGCAGUGGGGAAUAUUGGGCAAUGGGCGCAAGCCUGACCCAGCAACGCCGCGUGAAGGAAGAAGGCUUUCGGGUUGUAAACUUCUUUUGUCAGGGAACAGUAGAAGAGGGUACCUGACGAAUAAGCUCCGGCUAACUACGUGCCAGCAGCCGUGGUAAUCUGAGCGGGCGUGGCGAAGGC